GGGAAAGGAUGGGAAGGGGGGAGGAGGGGAGGAGGGAAAAGGAAGGGUGAAGAGGGAAAGGGAAGGGAGGAAGAAAGGGGAGAGAGGGAAGAGGAAGGGGAGGGGGAGAAGGGAAAGAAUACACUGAUUCUAGGAAUCAACCUGAGGGUUUCUCCAGA